rnacentral:rRNA from 1 species
CCUACGGGAGGCAGCAGUGGGGAAUAUUGCGCAAUGGGCGAAAGCCUGACGCAGCGACGCCGCGUGAGGGAUGAAGGCCUUCGGGUUGUAAACCUCUUUCAGCAGGGACGAAUUCAGACGGUACCUGCAGAAGAAGCACCGGCCAACUACGUGCCAGCAGCCGCGGUAAUACGUAGGGUGCAAGCGUUGUCCGGAAUUAUUGGGCGUAAAGAGCUCGUAGGCGGUUUGUCGCGUCGGCUGUGAAAACUCGGGGCUCAACCCCGAGCCUGCAGUCGAUACGGGCAGACUAGAGUGCUGUAGGGGAGACUGGAAUUCCUGGUGUAGCGGUGAAAUGCGCAGAUAUCAGGAGGAACACCGGUGGCGAAGGCGGGUCUCUGGGCAGUAACUGACGCUGAGGAGCGAAAGCGUGGGGAGCAAACAGGAUUAGAUACCCUGGUAGUCCACGCCGUAAACGGUGGGUGCUAGGUGUAGGUCGUAUUCCACGCGAUCUGUGCGCNGCUACGCAUAGCNCCCCGCCGUGGGAGGACGGCCGCGAGACGAACUACAANAGAGUGACGCGNGAGACGUGCCGAGGACGACGACGAGGGAGAGG